UACGUAGGUGGCAAGCGUUGUCCGGAUUUACUGGGCGUAAAAGGCGUGCAGGCGGUCUGUUAAGUUCAGGGUGAAAGCUCCCGGCUCAACUGGGAGAGGUCCUUGGAUACUGGCAGACUUGAGGGAGGUAGAGGAGAGUGGAAUUCCCGGUGUAGUGGUGAUAUGCGUAGAUAUCGGGAGGAACACCAGUGGCGAAGGCGGCUCUCUGGGCCUUUCCUGACGCUGAGACGCGAAAGCGUGGGGAGCGAACAGG
rnacentral:rRNA from 1 species